GUCCAGGGAUGGGAAUCGAACCCACAGUUUUCUGGGCAAAUGCCAUGUACACUAGGCUACCCUGGA